CGGCACCCUGCCCGGCCAGUGGGCCUCACUGCUGAGUUGGGAGUGGAGACUCAGCCCGGUGCGGGAGGUUACGUUCAGCCCUGUUGAUAGAUCCGCCUUCUGCACAUCUUUUGUGCCUCUCUUUAAUCGCACUGUUAACGGGCAGCUGUCUGCAUAACAAAAGCAGUAGUGGAGAAACUGCCUCACUUCAAACACACACAGUGGUCCUGCUGAAUGGUACCUGACAGCGUGGGGUCAAUGCCAGUGCAUAUCUGAACCUGGGGAAAUGGGUCUGUCAGAACUCAUAAUGUUUCUUAGCAAUAUUUAACGAGUAGGGCAUCCAUCCCACUCUCCAAGUAGGUGAGCAGCUCCCAGGGUCCCAUGCCCAUGUGGCACUGCUGUGGGACAGCCGCAGCUCCCUGGGCUCAUUGCAGCUGCCGCUCCAACCCCUGCAGCCUUUCUCCAGUACUCAGCUUUCAAGAGGAGGUUUAAUAACUUUUUUUUGGCCCUAUAGUAGCUGUCUUCGUGCAAAGGACCUUAUUAAUUAGCGGUAUUGGGGUUGAUAUUUUUAUAAAUCUGUUCACCAAAUAUCUUAAAAUGCAAAAGUGAUGCAUAUGGUCGUACUAGGAAUUUGCUUUACAUAAGAUCAGAGACUUGGCAGAAGGAAACAGACACAUCAUCCCAUUACUUUGUCUAUUACUACUACCAAGCAGUAUCCUUAUUUUCACUUUCCUUUGGAUAAAUGCCUUCUGUAUUUUCCUCUGUUGGCAGUGGAAGCAUCAUUUCAUUUGCAGUUAAAAGGCUCCCGUGAUCUAUAGGAAGCAACAGAUGUCAAAUUGUUUUGUCAGUUAAUAACACAACACUGCAUUGCUGGAAAUGUUCUGAUGUGUACUAACUUGAAUGUUUGCUGAAUUGGUGUAAUUAUUAGUUAUGUUAACGUGCAACCUUUAUGCAAAACAAGCUGCCUGUAACAUGCUGUUAAUAGAUGAGAGGGCUCUCUUAAUUGCUGUUCCGUGGAGAAAAACAACCAUUACUAAAUGUUUUGGUAAGUUCAAAUGUUGCCAAUAAGUAUCAGUCAGUUUUCGUCUUCAAAAAACAAUCCUAUAUUUCUUCCACUUUUCUUUUCAGUUAUCUGCAUUUUGAUAAACUGACUGAGGUUGCUGGAACAAAAGCAUUGCCUGCUUACCAAUGUGGCAUGUCCUAAGAGGCACAGAUCUAGUGAAUAAAUACAUGUGCGUUUAUUGGUAAAUAAAAUGCACAUUCCUGUUUGAAGCAGGAUCAGACAACUGGAGUGAUGGUUUCUAUUGCGAAACGCAUUGAGAACCAUAUGGCAUUUGGAGCCGUAGCUAAACUGCAGUAUGCUCAUAUCCAUGUUUCUGCUGCCAGCGUAUUGAUUGACAAACGUAGUAUUCAAAAGGAUUUGUGAAAAUAAGACAUCACAGUGCAGUUGUUUCCCUUACUCCACUGCGUUACCUCAUGUUGCUCAGUCUCCUGCCAGAUCUGUACCCUGCUGUAUGCUACAUCCUUAGUGUAUGCUGAAUGUGAAAGAUGAAAACCUGAUUUUUCUGUCAUGUCACAGGAUUUGCAUUCACAUCUGCAGAAGAUGAGUUCGGACUGCACGUUACACAGUUUUCUGUUGCGUUUUCAGUAUACUCCCAACAUCAUUUACACAGAUCUGUGAGUCUUUGUGUGCAGGUAUACGUACCCAUGAAGUAUCUGUAAAAGCUUAGAAGCCUCAGGAGACUUUUUUUCUUUCCAUUCUGCUUUGUUAAGUGAAAUAGUGCAGGUGUUUUGCUCUGUUGUAGUCAUGCAGUAGUAAAUAAGAAACCCUGGCUUCUGCUCUUCAGCACUUAAUUAUGCACUGAUUUUGACACUCUGCAUGGUCUUCUUUUUCCUCCUUUUUUUUGGUUUCUAUCAAACACCAAACAGUUUAAAAAACAACACCAGGAAUCUCACUGGAGCAGUGUUGGGUUUAUGGGCAUAACAAGAGGCAAUUUCUAAACGAUAAGUAACUGAAAUGCAUCAAUAGGGCUUAGUUUUGAAUAGCAGAGAAGGAGUUAAAUUUAGAAUAGAAUACGUAGCAUUCAUCUGUGUAGUUUGCUUUGAGAACUAAAGAAUGAAUGCUCACUUAGAUGCAGAUAGUUUAAUAUUAACGUGAAAACUGAGUACAUGCAGAGGAAGUUGCUCCAAUUUGCAUUCCUGUCAUUCUUUGCUCACGUUCAAAAUUAUUAAUCAUGAUCACAUACUUUACUUUUCUGCAGGAGAUGUGCUUCAUUCCAUGCAUGAGUGGGCAGUAGUGACUCCUAAUUUCUUUCAAGCUGUGUUUCUGGAGAUUUAUAUUCCUUCUGUAACGACGUGGUCAGAAAAAUAAAUGAAAAUCAAACAUAAUAACUGCAAAUGGAACAAACCAGUAAUAUUUCACGUUAUAAUUAGUCGAAACCAGGCUGCUUUAUCUUAAAGCAAUUACAUGUAAGUGGGAUGUAGGUUUUUGGAAAAAGCUUGGCAUUUCUGGCAGAGACACGAGAUAAAGGCAUCGCUGAUGACACUCAGAGGUAUUAAUGUAGUGGACACUCAGCCCUGCCAGCUGCAUGCAUUUUGGUGCUGCUCAUAUUUGGAUUUAAAGCCUAUCUGUGAUUUGUAUGGCGCGCACUUUUACACUUACUCCAAUGUAUUGCUGCUAAAUUGACUACAGUGUCCAAAUAAAUACUAAAAAUUAGAUACAUACAUACCAAAUAAAUACUAAUAAUACUAAGUUUUAAGGUUUUGGGCUUAAGCAGAUGACUCUUAGAAAGGCUUCUGGCCUUCAUCACCACAUCUUAUGUUCUAAUUAAAGCAUGUUUGCUUUCUUGCAUGGGGCCUAUUUUCACUGUAGGUGAAUUUGUUUGGCACAAAGGAAAAAAAGAAACUCAUCUGGUUUAGUCCUAACCAUCACACACGAUUUUUGUUUGUUUUAACCUUAAAGCUUCAUCUUUUCUGCUGUACUUAAUUUUAUCCACUGAGAUUUUUAAAGUUGAAUUUAAACAUGAGAGUGAAAUAGUCUUUGGUAACAAGCUGUUUACAAAUGGUUGCCAAAUGGUCUUUUUGUUGAAGGAUGUACUGCAGCAUUAUAUACCUCAAAUUGAUGCAUCUGUUUAUCUCCACACCACAUAACAACAGAUGUCAGUAAAGCACAGUUAGGAUAAGAAGUGUUGCUUCUACAAACACCCUUUCAGCUUCGGGUUAUUAAUUCUCUGUUGCAAAAUUGACAAAAUCAAGUGGGAGGAUAAAACAUCCAUCUUUUAGGGUCACACUGAAACAAAAUGGGACUUUGAUUACUUUCACAAAGUCACAUUUUGUCCCUUCCACGCUGUAAGGGUGGCUUGAGCUGUUUUUCCUUCUAUUUCACAGGUUACAGACUGAUUAAGAAUGCUGGUGGUGUACUGCGUGCUACUAAAUGAGAACGUGUAAACGCCAGCAGUUUUUUUCCCUAUACAGUUUAGAACUGUUUCAGAGGUUUCAAAUACAUACAGUAGCUCAGGAAACUCAUGGGAAGCACUCUUCAGAAAGGCAGCGCCUCUUUAGGUUCUACUUUGUCACUUCUCUUGGAUGCUCAGUAGGAAUGAGGCUCCAUCAAGAUGAGCACAGUAUUAAAGUACAAUCCAAAACUGAAUUGAGAAUAGAAAGAGUUUUUAACUCACACUGACUAAAGCUUUUGUUUCAGUAAUUACGUGAUCUUAGACUCUUCUGGAAGGAGUGAUGAGAUAUGGACGUAGUGUGUGACAGCAGUAUAGGGGCAGCCGAGGGGAAGCAACGUGGAGGAUAAUUAAGUUUGCAUCAAUCACAGUGUUGUGCCUGCAAUCCCCCAACACCCCCAGUCAAAAAAAAAAGCAAGUUUGCAGGUCUGCACGUACUCACUGUGGAAGGUGGGUGUGUGGGGUCUUCACAGGGGGCUGGAGGAGGUGGCAGAAAUUCCCUCACCAAAAGUGGCAGUGGGAGUCCAAGUACAGCUCCAGUGCAGGUGACGCCACUGAAAUUCUGGGGCAGAAGCAUCAGAAGUUGGUGUUAGUGCUUGCAAUGUGAAUGCUAGAGCUCCACCGUGUGGUUACAGCUGUGCACUGUGCACAGGCUGGGCCCUCAGCCCCGGGCUGCAGUGGCCAGAUCAAUGGAGGAAAUAUUGGCAGUGAACUCGGGCAGCUUCAUUCGAUGCUCCACGACAGCUGCACAAUUACAGUGCCAUUUGCUUCACUUCUACUGCUUUGCAGAUUUUUAAAUACAGGCAAUGUGGUGACUGGAAAAAACUACUUUGAACACAGCAGUUGAUAAGGAAAACAAAUGCAUAUUUCUUAAAACACAAAAAAUCAUGACGUCUUUACUGCUAAAGCACUGAGCGUGCUGGUGGUGGCACAAACAGCUGUGCUGUACUCAGGCAGGAUAUCACCAGCAUGGUGACUUCGGUGCAAGGAUGUAUGCCAUAGCAGAUUCACACAAAGCUGAGAAGAUACCAAACGAGGGAGGCUGUGCCAGGAGUAUAGUUUAUCAGGCAUGCGGUACAUCAAGCUUCUCUGCCCAGGUGUGCCAGGAAUGCGUAAUGUGUAACAUCAGGGAAGCCUGGCAGAGCUCAUUCCAUGAAAGGACAAUGCAACUUAGGUGAGACUGUUUUUAGAAGCUGUUAGAAAUAACCAUUACCUGCAGAACUGGUGUGAAGCACAGCACUGCUGGGCUAGGCUUUGUAUGAAUGUCACACAACGCCUUCAAGAGACAGCUUGGGCUAGGAUUUUUGAUUCUUUUACUUCUAUACCUUUCUAUUAUUAAACAGAAUAAUAAAAAAGAUAGUAAGUACCUACCAGAGUAAUGUACCAUCAAUAAAACUGCUUUUCUCCUGUAGCUAAAAGGCAGGAUACGUGAUGAUCUCUCCCAAGGUGUAUUUGUUGCAGAAUGAGGUUUUCCUGGUGCCCUGUGUGCACUUCACCAUCGAUCUCAAGCCAGACUGUUGCAUAGAACCACAAGCUCUGUUCUCAAGACAUCCUUGCUAAGAAGGGGACUGUAAGUCACAUCAGUCUGAUAAGAGAUGACAUCUGUGGAACGCUAAUAGUAUUUUUCCUGUAACAGACAAGUUUAAUGACUACAGUUGCUAUGACUGCUGCAGCUUGCUAACUGUCUAAAGAUUAAAUACAUUAAGACCCAAACAGUUGGUAAACUUUUGAAACGAAGGAAUCUUAUCCUUACAGUAACAUCAUUGCAUGAGUGGAGAGAGAUGGGAAUGUUUUUUUCCUGUGACCAGCAUAGCACACUGUAAGUGCCUGCAGUUAGCUUAAGCUGUCUUUAUUAAAGCACCAUUCUUUGGACAUCACCUCUGAAGAUGCCUGCACUGUGGGAUGAGGUAGUAGGUUGUAUAGUUUUAGGGUCAUACCCGCAACUGGGAGAUAACUAUACAAUCUACUGUCUUUCCUAAAGCAGCAGAAAAUCAACAACGGAGACCGUUCAGUUUUAAGCACAGUGUCAGAUUGUCCCAAACUUCUGUACUCGGAGUGUUUAUUAUAGCAGACAAAUAUUUCUGCAACGCCUACAGGUAAUUACUUCUGGAUUUUUUCUAAUUCUCUACAUUAAUUUAUCUUCUCUAAGGAUAACACGUAAGAACAGAUUGAUUCCUUUAAGGUGGGGUAAUGGUUGAUGUUCUAAUAAGUUGUGUUAACACUGCUAACUGAAGCAUCAAAUAUUAAUACUCGAGAAUGAGACUGUGGUUAGCUACUUCAGCAAAGAGCUUAAGUACAUGCUUCUCUGUCAGAGUGAGGUAGUAGAUUGUAUAGUUGUAGGGUAGUUAUUUUACCCUGUUCAGGAGAUAACUAUACAAUCUAUUGCCUUCCCUGAGGAGUAAAACAAACUGCGGUCCUUUGCUGUUGUUUGUUUCCACGUUGAGUAAGAGUUUACUUGUCAGAUAAGUUCAGGGUUGGAGAGUAUCACAUUAAUCCUGUAAAUUCUGUCCUUAAUUAACGAUCAGUUUGAAUGGUGCAAAUCCCAAACCUUAUGGAACUAAUACAACUUUUCUUUCAAGGUGAGUGGCACAGCACUGUCUGGACAUCAACAAUGCAUCUCUUAUAGAUACAGAACUGAAUACACCAUAGACUGGAAAUCAUUCUAAAACGAUUUGGUUUUGAACCUAAAAGUAGUCUUGGCUCAAGCUUAUACAUGGUGACAUAAACUGUUUUAAUUUCUGUAAUACAUUAACAUUCCAUCACUGUUCUGUAGAAGCUGGGAGACUUACAGUCAUACUUCAUUAAUACGCCUGCUUAUUUUUCUCUAGCUCUCGUAGCCAGUGAGACUUAAACAAUGUAAUACAAAGAUUAAAGUGUUGAAUGGCCAAAAUUGAUCCCUUCAACUGUUUAGGAGAAUGUAAAGCUAUGAAAUUUGAGUGCUCAAGAUCCAGAAUUGUAACUUCUGUCUGAAGAGGUUACCGAUUUUAUAAGAAGGCAUUUAAAGAUUGUGUUCUUUAUACCCCAUAAGCGCUAGGUGUACCCCCAUCUAGCUGCUUCUGCCCUAGGGUGACCACCUAACAUCUUCCUAUAACAACAAGGAACAAAAAGCAUGAAAACAUUCUGAUGACUGAAAGUUUAGCGUAGUAAGAGUGAAAAUGGAGCCAUUAAUGAGUACUUAAGCCAGGAAUGUUAACUGGUUAACCACUUAUUAAACAGUGCUAACUGUAAACUUGUAGUACAUGCCCUGGCCUAAAAAUGCAGAAGACCAAAAGCAGCUGGUAAGCUAAGCUGGCUUCACAGAGCAGCUGCUAAGCAAGAAGAACUGCAGAAAGGAAGCAUUGGGCUCCUAGGAAGAGGUAGUGGGUUGCAUAGUUUUAGGGCAGGGAUUUUGCUCACAAGGAGGUAACUAUACAACCUGCUGCCUUUCUUAGGGCUUUAUUAUAACACCAGGACCAUUUUGGCUCCAUCCUAACCUCUGCAGCUUUGGUAUGUGAAGAGAAGUGAAGCUGUUUCUAAGCAUAUUGAGGUUUAAUGAAACUGGUGUCUCAGCAAAUUUGGUACAGACUUGAGCACAGUACUAUUAACUGGAAUUUGGUAUUGUGAAAUGCUGCAUUUCAGGGCACACAUGUCAUUUUGUUGACAUUGGUGUUGUGAUAACUUACAAAGAUAAUGAAAAAAAAUUCUAAGAGUAAGAUCAGAUUCCCUACAAUUAGGAUGGAGGUGUUACAUACUUCUUAACGUUCAGUUAAGUACUAAUGCUACAUACUUGCAAACAGGCAGCUAUAAUGCACCUUCCUUUGGCUUUGUGAAGUUUCCAAGGAUCAACUUAAAACUCACCUGAAAGCUGGUGGGUUCCUGCAGGCAGGAAUAGGUUCUCCCAAAAAGUCAUGCUCUGUCAUGGAAUACUUGCAGUCCUACAGGAGCGUUUUCAAAGUGAAUGACUGCACAUCUGCUGUGGGGUUGUAUGUUGAGAAGUAGAUAAUGCUUUCAUGUAAUUACAGUGCAGUACCACCAUUGUUCUGGUAGGGCUUCAUCCAGAUGUGCUCUGCUGUGGGAUACAGAGACCCUUAACUGCUGAUCAUCUUGGAAGAUUAAUGCUUUAUGCUUACAGCAGCCAGUUUUUAGAGUUCUGGCAAGACAGAAUCCUAGAUAUUAUAAACAUACUUAGUAUGUUAAUGGAAAUUGUCUAUUCAUUGAAGUGUACACACUUGAUUUACUCAAUAAAAGAAUUUUAUGCAACUCC
ensembl:lncRNA